rnacentral:rRNA from 1 species
GAUGAACGCUGGCGGCGUGCCUAAUACAUGCAAGUCGAGCGAACAGACGAGGAGCUUGCUCCUCUGACGUUAGCGGCGGACGGGUGAGUAACACGUGGAUAACCUACCUAUAAGACUGGGAUAACUUCGGGAAACCGGAGCUAAUACCGGAUAAUAUAUUGAACCGCAUGGUUCAAUAGUGAAAGACGGUUUUGCUGUCACUUAUAGAUGGAUCCGCGCCGCAUGAGCUAGUUGGUAAGGUAACGGCUUACCAAGGCAACGAUGCUAAGCCGACCUGAGAGGGUGAUCGGCAAACCUGGAACGGGGACACGGUCCAGACCCCUACGGGAGGCAGCAGUAGGGAAUCUUCCGCAAGGGGCGAAAGCUGGACGGGGCAACGCCGCGUGAUGGAUGAAGGUCUUCGGAUCGUAAACCCCUGUUAUUAGGGAAGAACAAAUGUGUAAGUAACUAUGCACGACUUGACGGUACCUAAUCAGAAAGCCACGGCUAACUACGUG